rnacentral:rRNA from 1 species
UACGGGGGGAGCAAGCGUUGUUCGGAUUUACUGGGCGUAAAGGGCGCGUAGGCGGCCACCGCAAGUCGACUGUGAAAUCUCCGGGCUUAACCCGGAGAGGUCAGCCGAUACUGCGGGGCUAGAGUGCAGAAGGGGCAACUGGAAUUCUCGGUGUAGCGGUGAAAUGCGAAGAUAUCGAGAGGAACACCUGCGGCGAAGGCGGGUUGCUGGGCUGACACUGACGCUGAUUGUGCGAAAGCUAGGGGAGCGAACGGG